GGCUCGUUGGUCUAGGGGUAUGAUUCCUGCUUUGGGUGCAGGAGAUCCCGGGUUCAAAUCCCGGACGAGCCC
rnacentral:tRNA from 1 species